UACGUAGGUGGCAAGCGUUGUCCGGAUUUACUGGGCGUAAAGAGCGCGCAGGCGGUCAUUCAAGUCGAGUGUGAAAGCCCCCGGCUCAACUGGGGAGGGUCACUCGAUACUGUUUGACUCGAAGGCGGGAGAGGGAAGUGGAAUUCCCGGUGUAGCGGUGAAAUGCGUAGAUAUCUGGAGGAACACCGGUGGCGAAGGCGGCAUCCUGGACCGGCAUUGACGCUGAGGCGCGAAAGCUAGGGGAGCAAACGGG
rnacentral:rRNA from 1 species